rnacentral:rRNA from 1 species
AUUGAACGCUGGCGGCAUGCCUUACACAUGCAAGUCGAACGGCAGCACGGGUGCUUGCACCUGGUGGCGAGUGGCGAACGGGUGAGUAAUACAUCGGAACGUACCUUAUCGUGGGGGAUAACGCAGCGAAAGUUGCGCUAAUACCGCAUACGCCCUGAGGGGGAAAGCGGGGGACCGUAAGGCCUCGCGCGAUUAGAGCGGCCGAUGUCUGAUUAGCCUGUUGGUGAGGUAAAAGCUCACCAAGGCGAUGAUCAGUAGCUGGUCUGAGAGGACGAUCAGCCACACUGGGACUGAGACACGGCCCAGACUCCUACGGGAGGCAGCAGUGGGGAAUUUUGGACAAUGGGGGCAACCCUGAUCCAGCAAUGCCGCGUGAGUGAAGAAGGCCUUCGGGUCGUAAAGCUCUUUCGUCAGGGAAGAAACAGCAGCUCUAACACAGUCUGCGAAUGACGGUACCUGAAGAAUAAGCACCGGCUAACUACGUGCCAGCAGCCGCCGUAA